rnacentral:rRNA from 1 species
AUUGAACGCUGGCGGCAUGCUUUACACAUGCAAGUCGAACGGUAACAGGGUGCUUGCACCGCUGACGAGUGGCGAACGGGUGAGUAAUGCGUCGGAACGUGCCGAGUAGCGGGGGAUAACGCAGCGAAAGUUGUGCUAAUACCGCAUACGUACUGAGGUAGAAAGUGGGGGACCUUCGGGCCUCACGCUAUUCGAGCGGCCGACGUCUGAUUAGCUAGUAGGUGAGGUAAAGGCUCACCUAGGCGACGAUCAGUAGCGGGUCUGAGAGGAUGAUCCGCCACACUGGGACUGAGACACGGCCCAGACUCCUACGGGAGGCAGCAGUGGGGAAUUUUGGACAAUGGGCGAAAGCCUGAUCCAGCCACGCCGCGUGUCUGAAGAAGGCCUUCGGGUUGUAAAGGACUUUUGUCGGGGAGGAAAUCCCCAGCGUUAAUACCGCUGGGGGAUGACAGUACCUGAAGAAUAAGCACCGGCUAACUACGUGCCAGCCGCCGCCGUAACAC